GGCGGAGCAAAGAGCGUGUCGACAAAGAUGUAUUGAGAAUGGCUUCCUCAGUGUGUGGGACACAGCUGCGACCGAGACGCCCAGCGUGUUGCAUCUGGCAGAGGGACCAUUUAUUAAACUAAUCAUCACACAAGUGAACAAGCAACUGCUUAAUUGUCAACAUGAUAAAAACUAGAGCUGAGACAUUGUGACAUAGGUUGUGGGCCAGAGUUGGAACGCUUGGGAUCUUCUUUCAGGCCAAAGAGUUGGUCAGGAGGGCAAAGGGAACAGCCUUCAGGGCACAGGGAACAGCCCUUAUGGUGAUGAAGCCUUUAGUGUGGGAAUCUGGCUUUCGCUCUGAGUUCCCUUCAGGAGGCCAGGAAUCUCUGUCUUUCCCUCAAACGGUCCAGAGUGUGUGCGUUGUCUGCUGUACAACUGAGUCUGGAUCCCUGUGUUCCUAGCCCUGGUGGCAGAGCUACUGUGGGCUGUUGUCACCAGGGAACUAGGAUAUGGGUUCCCAUGACAACCCUCUGCUCCUGCAGAUUGCCAUGAAGCCAGCCAGACAUCUAUAACCACCUGAUCUGUAUGCCACACCAGAUGAUCACAAACAGAACCUUGGGGACAAGUGAGAAAACUGAGGCUUCAAGAACUCUAUCAAGGUUGGGGAUUUAGCUCAGUGGUAGAGCGCUUGCCUAGCAAGCGCAAGGCCCUGGGUUCGGUCCCCAGCUCCGGAAAAAAAAAAGAACUCUAUCAAGAUUGGCUGUCAGCUAUGUGGUCAAAGAGGAUUCUCUCUCCUGACAUUCUGGUAGAAACCAGCAGCUAGUAAUUGGCAGAGCAGCCUUGAGUUCCUCAUGGGACAAUUGAGUGUUUCCCAGGCUAUCCCAGAUGUCCAUGAGGUGUUGCAAAUCCUACAAUCUGAGUGGAUCAUGCUGAGAAGGCAGGAAAGCCACAGACAGAGCCAAAAUGGCUUCUUACGGCAACAACAGAGAGACUCAAUGAGGGCCUCUGCAGCCGGUGCACAGAAUUCAUGCUACUGAGGAAACACUCCAGAAAUCAUUGCAAGAGGGACUAAUGGCACACCUCAGUUACCUCACCAGCUUGGCCUACAUAACCAAAAUAUAAAGUCAGCAAAAUAAAGGUAGAUGUGGC
ensembl:lncRNA